GUUGAAAAAUUAGCGGAUGACUUGUGGCUGGGGGUGAAAGGCCAAUCAAACCGGGAGAUAGCUGGUUCUCCCCGAAAUCUAUUUAGGUAGAGCCUUGAGCGGACACCUUCGGGGGUAGAGCACUGUUUCGGCUAGGGGUCCAUCCCGGAUUACCAACCCGAUGCAAACUACGAAUACCGAAGAGUGAUACUCAGGAGACACACGGCGGGUGCUAACGUCCGUCGUGGAGAGGGAAACAACCCAGACCGCCAGCUAAGGUCCCAAAGUCUAUAUUAAGUGGGAAACGAAGUGGGAAGGCUUAGACAGCUAGGAUGUUGGCUUAGAAGCAGCCAUCAUUUAAAGAAAGCGUAAUAGCUCACUAGUCGAGUCGGCCUGCGCGGAAGAUGUAACGGGGCUCAAAUAUAGCACCGAAGCUGCGGCAUCAGACGAAAGUCUGUUGGGUAGGGGAGCGUUCUGUAAGCGGAUGAAGGUGAAUCGAGAGGUUUGCUGGACGUAUCAGAAGUGCGAAUGCUGACAUAAGUAACGAUAAAACGGGUGAAAAACCCGUUCGCCGGAAGACCAAGGGUUCCUGUCCAACGUUAAUCGGGGCAGGGUGAGUCGGCCCCUAAGGCGAGGCUGAAAAGCGUAGUCGAUGGGAAACGGGUUAAUAUUCCCGUACUUGGAUAAACUGCGAUGUGGGGACGGAGCAGGUUAGGUUAUCGCACUGUUGGAUAUGUGCGUUUAAGUUUGUAGGUGGGAAGUUUAGGCAAAUCCGGACUUCUAUAAACACUGAGAGAUGAUGACGAGGCUCUACGGAGCUGAAGUAACCGAUACCACACUUCCAGGAAAAGCCACUAAGCUUCAGGUUUAUCUAAACCGUACUGAAAACCGACACAGGUGGUCAGGUAGAGAAUACUCAGGCGCUUGAGAGAACUCGGGUGAAGGAACUAGGCAAAAUAGCACCGUAACUUCGGGAGAAGGUGCGCCGGCGUAGAUUGUAGUCCCUCGCGGGCGAAGGUUGAACCGGUCGAAGAUACCAGCUGGCUGCAACUGUUUAUUAAAAACACAGCACUCUGCUAACGCGUAAGCGGACGUAUAGGGUGUGACGCCUGCCCGGUGCCGGAAGGUUAAUUGAUGGUGUUAGCGCAAGCGAAGCUCCUGAUCGAAGCCCCGGUAAACGGCGGCCGUAACUAUAACGGUCCUAAGGUAGCGAAAUUCCUUGUCGGGUAAGUUCCG
rnacentral:rRNA from 1 species